CCUACGGGUGGCUGCAGUGGGGAAUCUUCCGCAAUGGACGAAAGUCUGACGGAGCAACGCCGCGUGAGUGAAGAAGGUUUUCGGAUCGUAAAACUCUGUUUUCAGGGACGAAUGUGCGAAGUGUAAAUAAUGCUUUGUAAUGACGGUACCUGAGUAGAAAGCCACGGCUAACUACGUGCCAGCAGCCGCGGUAAUACGUAGGUGGCAAGCGUUGGCCGGGCGUACGCAGCGUAAAGCGCGCGCAGGGUGGUAAAGUUCGGGGCUCAACCCCGUGAAGCAUUUGGAAACUGAUAUUCUUGAGUGCAGGAGAGGAAAGUGGAAUUCCUAGUGUAGCGGUGAAAUGCGUAGAUAUUAGGAGGAACACCAGUGGCGAAGGCGACUUUCUGGACUGUGUCUGACACUGAGGCGCGAAAGCUAGGGUAGUGAACAGGAUUAGAUACCCUAGUAGUC
rnacentral:rRNA from 1 species